UCCGUGUCACUGCUCUCCGGUGACGAUGGCCGAUCAAGAUCAAUUUUCCGAUCAAGAUCAAUUUUCCGAUCUGGUAUUUUUCCAUCCGACAACAUGAGUUUAUUGGAAAUCACGCAUGCUGUCGAUGGCCGAUCAAGAUCAAGAAUUCUCCACUGGAUUGCUGUCCCAGUGACGAUUCCGAUCAAAAUCCUAAACCCCAAAUCUUAGAAUCCCCGAUGAUUCCGGUAUCACUCUCGAUUAAAAAAAGAAACAAGGAAAAUUCGAGAACUUAAUUAUCCAGAUUAUCUUUGAGUUCUUGCAUACAUUCCUUCUUAGAGAAAAAACCAAGAAAUUGUCGUCUUUUUGAAGUUAUAUUGGAAUUCUUUAUUUUAGAAAAAUCAAGAACUCGUCUUUUUUUAAAAUUACUACAUUGGUAUUCUUUAACCAUAUUUUAGGAUCUUGAAGAAAUCUUUUCUAUUUUUUAAAAAAAUUAUGUUAUUAUUCUAGCCGUGAGUGUUAAGUUUGUUCAAGAAUCUGUUUUUACUUUUCUUGGGACAUUAAGCGAAUGCGUGAGGCUAUUUGUAGUUCAAUGUCAUUAUGUUUUCACAAGGGUUGUUUAGGAGUGUUUCAACAGCUCUAUGCUGGUGCAACAAAGUCAUUGACGUGGAGUUGUUCUUGAACCCACUCGGACAACUCUAAUUAUAAGAAGUUGUGAUUACUAGUACUUUGAAUUAAGUAGUUUAAUUAUAAGACAGACAGACUUUGUAAACGCCUUCACUGACCAUCUUCCUUUACAUGGUCUAGACUUUUUGACUUUGAUUGUUUGUUAUUGUUUUCAUUUGAGAAUCAGUAAAAGUCUGCUGAGAACGUCAUAGUCAAGUGACUAACGGUGGCAAGUCGUGCCUUCAUGCAGUUUUAAUCAAUUAGACUGAUUGCACCUGUGAAUUUGUCUGUGGCUUGCACAAAAGGCAGUGACCGAUGGGACUUUUUAUUUUCAGCCUCCAUUUUCGUCUAGGUUGAAACAGAGGAUGAGUUUGGGGUGCUAAAUCCAGUUGGGUGUUCGUCUAGUUGCUCAAUUUUGUCUUCAGCAAAGUCAUUGGAGAGUCAAGAAGGUUAUUGACCAAAAAUUCAUCAUCAUAGGACUGGUGGUGGGUCAUUUUCAAGGCUAUUUUAGGCCUGAAAUAACUUGUUGUUUCAAUGCCUUUCUGAAGAUGUCCAUGCCCUGUUGAAUGCCCAAAAACAGAAACGGAAAAGCAUUAUAUAAAAUGCAGAAAAAUGGGUGUAAAAUUUCAUGGAAAUCGUGUACUCCUAGACCCGAUGCAUUUUGGUGUGCAGAAGGUUCUGCUUAAUUUUUUAUUUUAUUUCAUCAGCUGAUUUUUUUUUUUUGAAGCAUCUGGUCUCCCACAAAAUGGCUGGUGCUGAUGGGAGAAAGAUAUGGUAAUCUUUGUGCAAAAUGCUGGGUUGACACCAUCUUUUCUAUGCGACAUCAAAAUACUGCCAUUCAGAUGAUAUGCAUGCUUUCCCAGCAAGCUUUGGCCUUAAAGGAGAUGCUCUGAGUUCUACUUCUGACGUUUCCUUGUUGAAAAUUGUUACAAAAACUCAUGGGAAGAUUUUGACGGGCAAGUAUUUGCACUUUGGAAUUGAUAAUUGUAGACAAGAUGUUGGUACAACAGGUAUUUCUGUAUGAGGCUGUAUGAGGCUACCUGGGACAAGAGUUGACUGUUGUUUGCUAGUAAGGAAAUUUGUUGGGAUUUUACUUUUUGCAUUUGUUGUUCCUGAUGUAUUUUACAACCAGCCAGUUCGAAGGAAGCAAAUGCACUCCAAAUACUUCUAGUUCUCUCACAAUUCAAACGAAUAAAAAAUAUUGAUUUACACACUUCACUUCUAACGCUGUACUCUGUUCUUAUUGAUCUUUUAGUUUGCAUAUAUAAUCUGGAAGCCCUAAGGGGGUGUCUUACAUUCUCUGAAAGAGUCCCUACUAAGAAUCGCCCUUGUGCAUCCCAAUGUCUCCUGCAAUUUUGUUGAUAUUGAAAGGUCCAUCUUUGUUAUUCCAGCUACAUAAAUUACUUAAUAAGAUAGCAAUGACUUUUGGCAGUGCUUCUGACUAUGAGCAGCGAAGUCAAUCUCAAAUAUAUCCACUGUUUUUUUAACCUAAACUGCUCACGAUCUUUAUAUGAUUUGACACUGGAGCUGUCAAUGAACUCUAUGGAAUUUAAGGUGAGUUUUUUGUUGGCAGUUAUUAUUUAAUUUUUUGGGGUUGGGAAACGAGUGGGAGUCUUUGGAUUUAUUGUUGUAGAAUUGAGUUUGGAUUUAGAGAUUGUUUUGUAAAACUUGGUUUGGGUUGUUUUCUGUAAAAAAUAUAUCAAAACACCUGAUCAUUUUUUGAAACUCUAAUGUAGGUGAAGUUAGAACUGCCUAAGCAUCAUUAUCUUUUACUAAUCGUAUUGGAGUUCGAAGUAUUAAAGAGGCCCCCCCGACGAGCAAUGCCCUUGUGUCACAGCAGUUCCCAGAGAACAAAAUAAUAUUCCGUUUGUUAUCUGACAACAAUGCAAAACCACGUUUCUAGCUUCUUUUGGUUGCAAAACUAAACAGGUCAAUGUUAACAAUGACAUGUCGUACAUAUUUGUUUUACUGAGUGGAGUGUUGUAUUUCUUAUUACAAUGUCUUUGCUGCUUCUAAGACUGACAAUUCUCCCAACUUGAACUUACUCUUCUGAUUUUUUACUUACCCAAGCAUUCCUGACCUGAUGUAUUUAGAGUUACAACGUCUAGUUUACCUGAAUCCAAUGUACCCCACACGGAAUAUCGAUUUACAUGUAAAAAUUCAUUACUUAGUACCUUAGAAGUUGAAUUCUUAAAGUUUUAAAUCUUGAAUUCACCUCAUUAAACACUAACAAUAAACAUUUCAAGAGAGCAAGGGUUUCAGCUACAAAUUAAACUUUCUCCCAAGUGAAGCUCUGCGAUCUAUCAAAAGGAACGGAGAAAAUGUAAUAGAUGUUAAUUGCAUGGUCCCUGAAUUGCAGAAAUGUUUUAGAGGAUAAUGUAGAAGAACAUGACAAAAAUGAGAGUACAGCUGAUUAACAUGUAAAACUUGAGCAUGAGUAUGAAACUGCUGCUUUGUUUGAUGGGUGAGAAUGUAUUACAAUCAAUCAUCGUAUAAGAGCCGGUAGUCGUCAUCACUAUCAUAUUCUUGAAUGGCUACACCUUUACCUUUGUUGUUACUUUUGCCAAUAGGUGUAGUGGAAUCAGGUGCCGACUAUCCUCCAUCGCUUUGUAUAACAGUACUUGUCUCAUUUGGGGUUUAAUGGUUCUUCUCUGAUGAUAUGCAUGCUUUACCAGCAAGCUUUGGCCUAAAAGGAGAGGCUCCGAGUUCUACUUAAGUGUGGCAACGGGACCGGGACCUGGACUGGGACUACCGGACCGGGACUAACCGGAACUGGCAUGGAAGCGAGAACCACAACCCGGAACCGUAUCGGAACCGGGACGGACCAAUACCGGUAGUUUCGGAUACGUAGAGUAGUACCCGUCCCAAUACCGUGACUGAGCUCUAUUUCUGAUGUUUCUUUGGUGGAAUUGUUACCAAAACUCAUGGGAGGCCAAAUGGAUAUCAUAAGGUUUUGAAGGUAAAGUUCAAGCUGUAUUCUGAUCUGAUUGAUCUUUUGUUUUGCAUUUGUAAUCUGGAAGCCCAAAGAGGGUCUUGCAUUCUCUGAGUGUCUGCUGAGAAUUAUCAGGUCCUGUCUGGAAAAAUGAGGCCAACAACCUAUCAGGGCAGAUGAGCGAGUUCGUCUGGAAGAACUGUGUGGGUAGGUAAUGAUUGUCUAAAAACUCAUUGGAGAGUCAUUUCAACUUGGAGUCUGUUACUUAUUGGAUUAUCAGGUCCUGUCUGAAAGAAUGAGGUCAGCAACCUAUCUUGAUCCAGAGCAAGAAUUGGUACGUUUAUUUUGAUAUUAGGUAACAUUGAAUUUGUGAGUCUUUUUUGAAAUUUGUUGCCAAUUACUACUCAGCAGACCAAAUUCAAGCUUCAAGAUCAUUUAUCAGGUAAGUUACGAUCUUUGUUUAGAUUUUCAUCACACAACGAGUCUAUGGAACUUGCCAUUUACCAGAAAUUCCAUUGCACUAAAUUUUGCAACAUUCUUUAAAUCUGAUUCCCAAGCAGUCAACAUCCAUGUAUAACAUUCUCUAAUACUUGUCUCUGUCAUAUUAUACAUUCAAGAUCCACUGUUUUUGUAUAGCCUAAACUUCUCAAGAUCUUUAUAUGCUUUGAUUUUGGAGCCUUUAAAAGCCUCUGUGGAAUUUAAUGUGAGAUUUUGUGCUGGCAUUUAUUAUGUAGUUGUUUUGGAGUUGGGAAUCGAGGUGAGUCUUUAAGACCUCUGUAGCAUUUAUUAUAUUUCAUUUUCCUUGUUAAAUGGUUUAACCUUUUCCAUUUGUUGUUUCUUCUGCUGUUCCUGGCUUGGGACUAGAGAUGCUUAUUAUUGACCCUUACUAAAAUGAAUGUAAUCUUUUUCAUAUUAGAGAUCCUAUCGCAUAAUCACCAUAGGUUUGCCAAAUAUUUUGCUUUCCUUGUUGAUGCUUUACUUGGUUUGAGACCAAACAAGUUUGGCAAUUGCAUAGUUCAAGUUGUUUUGUGUAACCUUGUUUGAUGGGGGAGUCGAGUCAAAUUCUUGUUUAUAUGCCUUGCAGCAAUCAUCUACGAACUUGAUGUGAAAGUCUAACGAGCUGAAACAUACCUGCUCAAUAGCUCAUCACUGUUCUUUUAAGAUGCUGAUUGCUCUUUAUAUUUUCCAUAUACUAAUUUGCAUAUGGACACUGAAAAUUUCCUUUGGUGGUGCUUUUGUUGGUUUAGAGAAUCUGUCAAACAAAAUUAAUUUCAUGGAACAUAUUUAGGUUAAGUGAUAUAUUAUGGUUCAACUUAUCAUUCCUUUACUCCCAGACGAUAAGAUUUUUCAAUUGGAUUUGGAGCACCAGUUCGAACCAACAUGAAAAUUGGCGGUCUAACUGAUGCUGUAGUCACAUCAAUCAUCAUCACUACUGGAAUCUGUGAGGAGAUCCCUGUGACUUGUGCAUAGUUUUCUUUCCGGAUCACUAUUUUGUAGAUCUAACGACUCUUUGUUCUCGUGAAAUUAUAGAAACCAAAUGCAUUGUAAAUUGGAUUUGACAUUGUUUUUUGUAUCUAGGUAGAAAGUGUUGAUCUCACUGCAUAUGAAUAUGUGGAGAGGUUUCAUGUUUUAGUGAGUUUAUCUUCACUGGAUGAGGAUCAGCUUGUUCAGGUUUUUCUACUCGUUUUGCCUUUUGGCAAUGUAGUUUCUACUUUCACAUUUCCUGAUUUAAUCGGCUUUUGAGGAAUGCGUGUUAAGGAUGCUAAAGAAUUUGUUUUUACCUUUUCAAGAUUUGUUUCCACCAGGUAUGUGUUGCUAUCGGCAUCAGGACCUUCAUGUCCACCAGGUAUGUGGUGCUAUAGGCAUUGAGAUCUGCAAUGGUAAGGUGGACGGCAAUGGUAAGUAUUACUUUCUUUGACAUUGAUCUAAUGCACUUUGAUGUGCAGUAAGUUCUGUAUACUUUAUUGUGUAUUACUUCGUUAUCUGAAAUUGUACUUUCUUUUGAAAGAUCAUCUUAUGUUUACUUUCUUUUGAAGGAUCACCUGACGUCUACUUUCUUUUGAAGGAUCAUCUGAUGUUUACUUUCUUUUGAAGGGUCAUCAGAUGUUUACUUUCUUUUAAAGGAUCAUCUGAAGUUGAACCUUCUUUUGAAAGAUCACCUGAAGCUGCACCUUCUUUUAUAAAGGAUCACCUGAAGUUGUACGCUCUUGUUGGACAACUUCUCGACUGUACAGAGUUGGGUCAGGCAUUGGAGCUACCCUGCGAGGCAACCCGUUGAGGCAUCUCCGUUUUGCAACCGAGGUCUGCAGCCAUUGUGGUUGCUUUGUCUCCUUUUUCCUGGUUUUAUAACAUAUCUGAGCCUUAGGAGAAAGAAUUGGCGAAAAGACGCUUGAAGUCUUGUGAAUUCCCUUUUUUACGUUAGGCUUAAAAGGCAAGAAUGAGGCGGCAGAGAGUAUGGGAUUUCUAUCAAGGGUGGUUUCCGUUCUCUGUAUGCUUCACCUAUGAUUCUCCAUUUUUUCAUAACAAAACAACAUCCCUAAAAAAAGAAAAAGACAGAGAGAGUACACUUCAGUUUCUAGGUUUCUUUGCAUUUUUUCACCCUUACGCGUAUGCUCUUAAGGCAGUACACACAACUACACUACAACAUGACCAUGAAAAUUAUUGAAGAGGCAGUGAUGAUUUCUGGGCUAACUGACUUUGGGCAUUGAGACAUUACUCAACCCGUAUCUUGGCGGGGCAACCCGCUAUGGCCUGUAAUUGAGAAUCAUAUCUCACACAUGUAAUCGUGUAUUGCAGCCAUGGCGUGGUUGACUUCUCUUUGGCCUUACAUAGCACAUCUGAGCCUCAAUUUGCUAAAGAAAAAAGGUAAAAGGGUAAAUUUACACCUUUACUAUGCAUAAGGGGCAAUAUCUUUUCCAUGAUUAUGUGGGAUAUAUUGAACCCACACCCUUCUGAUUUGCAGUUCUAAUGCAUUUCAUUCGUAGUGUACCUCCAUCUUUUGUUCUUGAAGGCCCCACUAGCACAACCUCUAAAAAAAAUUUAAGUAGUUGAAUCGUAAGAAGUUGUGAUUUGUAGUAUUUAGGAUGAAAACACUCGAUUGGACAGACUUCCGUAAAUGCCCUCAGUGGCCAUUUUUCGUUACAUGGUCUAGACUUGUUAUAUGUUUUCUGAUUUUGUUAAUGUUUUUUAGGGUCAAUUGAUGUGCUGUUGAGAAUAUGGCAAAUGAGCAGUGAGGCUCUUCAAUGAAUUCUUAUGUUCCUUCAUUACCUACUCCUGAUGACGAGGGCAUAUGCUUUAUAUGAAAAUCGAUAGACCUUUUCUCCUCUUAGUAUGAUGUUCCAUUCUAGCAUCAUAAUUUUUUAUCCCAGAUGAAUAUUCCUUUAUCAAUAUUCCAUUUCUUUUUUCCAUGAGAUUUACUUCCUUAUAGGACUGUUCUUUUUAUGUUUGUUAUUCUCAUAUGUAGUGCACUCCUAGAUUGAAUUUAACCUAGUUUCAACCAGGUAUUUGGUGCUCUUGGAAUUGGGAAAUGCUAUAUUAAGGUGAAUGACAAUGGUAAGUGUUAGUUUCUUUGACAUUGAUCUAAUGCACUUUGAUGUGGAGUAAGUUCUGUUCAAUUUAUUAUAUUACUUCACCCUUUGAAGUUGUAUUUUCUUUUGAUGGAUCAUCUGAAGUUUAUCUUUCUUUUGAAGGAUCAUCUAAAGUUGUAAUUUCUUUUGAAUGAUCAUCUGAAGUUAAACUUUCUUUUGAAGGAGCAUCUGAUGUUUUACUUUCUUUUGAAGGAUCUCUGAAGUUUUACUUUCUUUUGAAGGAUCAUCUGAAAAUAUACUUUCUUUUGAGGAAUCAUCAGAAGUUUUACUUUCUUUUGAAGGAUCAUCUGAAGUUGUACUUUCUUUUGAAGGAUCAUUUGAAGUUGUAUUUUCUUUUGAAGGAUCAUCUGACGUUGUACCUUCUUUUUAAGGAUCAUCUGUUUUACGAGAUGGACAGGGUUUUAUGGCAAAAAGAUAUGGUCCUUAUGUGGUCUCGCAUAAAUAGAUUGAUGCUGAAAUCUAGUAAAACGGAUGAGCUUAUGUUGAAGACAAAAAGUAGAAGAAAUCAUUCAGCUCUCCCUUUUACCAAAGCAAGAAUAAAUUAUUUGCCAUGAAUGUGUCUUCAAGGAAGGCAGCAGGAAAUAACAGUAUUAAGACUGUUCAUAAUGUGCCACUCAUGCCAGAAACUAGAGCAGUAAGGGGACUGCAUCAUUCUGCAGAAGCUAUCUGCUGGGAGCUUCCACAGCAGUCACCUCAUCAAUGUAAUCAAUCUUCCACCCCAAGUUGUGGUGGUGGUGUAUUCUCUGACGAAAUAUAAUGUUAUCAAAUUUCUUGGAAGUGUUAGGUUUCAAUCAAAUAUGUCAGUAACAACUCACACGACCUGAAGUUUCUUUCUUCUGAAAAGGGAACUUGUUAACAUCUUGAGUAGCAAAUUACAAGCUGAUGGGGAGUGCACAAGUACACACGAUAGAGAGUCAAAAGAAGGUUCAUGGAAGCAUGCUAGGCAUGAAGCCUGUAGAGGUUGUCUUGGUUGAACUGCCAAAACAGCUGAUACAGUUGGAUGUGGAGCAAAAGUUUUUCAUGGUAGCAGUCAGGUGGAGAAUAUUUCCCCUGCGUACUGGAUAAACAAUUACAAUGGUUUGUCUCCUUGCAUAGAUUAGCAUUAACAAUUACAAUGGUUUGUCUCCUUGCAUAGAUUAGCAUUUUAAGACAACUUGCCAUCAACCCGUCACGUUAUAAUCUUAGUAUCUGCAUAGAUAGUCCCUAGUCCCUAUCAUAAGAAUUGACCAUAAGAAUCUAGAAAUAUAAUUCUAGCUGAUAAGAUGUUCGAUUUCGCAAGUUUUUUUACACAUUUGCCUCCAAUUUGUAGUCACCUUCAGUUUGUGUUUGAUGUGUUUGUGAUGUGAACAAUUUGCUUUGUCUUGUUCUUUUUAAUCAAAGGAAACAAGUUUCUCUCUUCACUUCAAAGAGAGAUUUUUAUUGUGUGAGUAAAUAUCAUUAUAACCAUCCACAUCAGUAGCCAACUGUGGUAUUUGGACCUUGAGAAAUUCACUUUUCUUCCAUUAUAAAAGUGUAUACUGUUAAGAAGCUUGUUUCUCUGUCAUGUAGAUGCUUGAACGAUUAUGGAAUUGUGAGAUGAAUGAUUUGUGUUGAUAUUAUAUUAUUAGUCUAUAGUCAAAAGACACUUGAGAAUCACAUAUGGAUUUUCUGGGCCAAAACAAUGAGAUGUUGUAUUCAACGGGGUACAACCUUAUAAUGCAGGUUGGAAAAGAGUAGAAAACAAAGUAUUUGUAAUACACAAAGUUAAUGUUUGUAUUAUUUUUUCUAAUACACUAAACUAAACGACCCCUUGUUGAAUACAAGAAUGAGCAACAAAUCUCUGUCCUUGUUCUAUACACUUUUAAACUUUGCAACUUGUAGCUUGAUGCCUUUUUGGGUAUUGCUAAUGUAAUUUGUGAGCUAUUAUUGUACAUGAACGAGUUUACUCGAUAGACCAGUAGAGUAUCAAUUGCAAAAUUUUCUGGAGGUUGUUCCAAGGAAA